rnacentral:ncRNA from 1 species
CGGACAAGGGUAAUCCGAUUGUUUAAUUAAAACAAAGCAUUGUGAUGGUCCUUGCGAAUGCUGACACAAUGUGAUUUAUGCCGAUUGCUAUGCAUGUCAAAGUGAAUAAAUUCAACCAAGUGCGGGUAAACGAUGGGAGUAACUAUGAUUCUCUUAAGGUAUCCAUAUGCCUUGUCAUUUAAUUAGUGACACACAUGAAUGGAUUAACGUUAUUCCCACUGUCCCUAGCCAUUAUCUAGAGAAACCACAUCCAAGGGAAUGAGCUUUGCAGAAUUAGCAGGGAAAGAAGACCUUGUUGAGCUGGACUCUAGUCUGAGUUUGUACUGAAAUGACUUGAGAGGUGUAGAAUAAGUGGGAGUCAUUUUGAUCUAUAACCCUAGGAAUCCUAGAACAACAAACCCAUAUUCUAUAAAUUGUAAAUGAUAUAAUCGAUAAUACAAUAUAACCCUUUUAUUACCUAACACGU